rnacentral:tRNA from 1 species
UUCCUAUAGUUGAAAUACGACAACGGCGAUUUUUCAGGUCGUUGGUCUUGGAGAAAAGCCAAAUAGGAAU